CCUACGGGAGGCAGCAGUAGGGAAUUUUCGUCAAUGGGCGCAAGCCUGAACGAGCGAUGCCGCGUGAGUGAAGAAGGCCUUCGGGUCGUAAAGCUCUGUUGCGGGGGAAAAAAGGCAGCAUCAGGAAAUGGGUGCUGACUGAUGGUGCCCCGCCAGAAAGUCACGGCUCACUACGUGCCAGCAGCCGCGGUAAUACGUAGGGGGCGAGCGUUAUCCGUAAUGAUUGGGCGUAAAGGGUGCGCGGGCGGUCCUGAAAGUCUGGAGUGAAACGCAUGAGCUCAACUCAGUCAUGGCGUUGGAAACUGGAGGACUGGAGAGCAGGAGAGGGCGGGGGAACUCCAUGUGGAGCGGUAAAAUGCGUAGAGAUAUGGAAGAACACCAGUGGCGAAGGCGGCCGCCUGGCCUGUUGCUGCCGCUGAGGCACGAAAGCGUGGGGAGCAAAUAGGAUUAGCUACCCUUGUAGUC
rnacentral:rRNA from 1 species